rnacentral:rRNA from 1 species
AUUGAACGCUGGCGGCAGGCCUAACACAUGCAAGUCGAGCGAGCGGCGGACGGGUGAGUAAUGUCUGGGAAACUGCCUGAUGGAGGGGGAUAACUACUGGAAACGGUAGCUAAUACCCCGCACCAUAGGAUGAGCCCACGUUGGAUUAGGUAGUUGGUGUGGUAAAGGCUCACCAAGCCGACGAUCUCUAGCUGGUCUGAGAGGAUGACCAGCCACACUGGGACUGAGACACGGCCCAGACUCCUACGUGAGGCAGCAGUGGGGAAUAUUGCGCAAUGUGGGCAACCCGGACGCAGCGAUGCCGCGUGAAUGAAGAAGGCCUUCGGGUUGUAAAGUUCUUUCGGUAGCGAGGCGUUAACUACAGAAGAAGCACCGGCUAACUCCGUGCCGGCAGCCGCGGUAAUAC